rnacentral:rRNA from 1 species
GCAGCCGCCGCGGGAAUACGGAGGGUGCAAGCGUUAUCCGGAUUUAUUGGGUUUAAAGGGUCCGUAGGCGGAUCUGUAAGUCAGUGGUGAAAUCUCACAGCUUAACUGUGAAACUGCCAUUGAUACUGCAGGUCUUGAGUAAAUUUGAAGUGGCUGGAAUAAGUAGUGUAGCGGUGAAAUGCAUAGAUAUUACUUAGAACACCAAUUGCGAAGGCAGGUCACUAAGAUUUAACUGACGCUGAUGGACGAAAGCGUGGGGAGCGAACAGGAUUAGAUACCCGCGUAGUCCCUGUCUCUUAUAC